UGCGACUUUAAGAUAGGGAAACUGGUAGGACAUCCAAGAAAAAAAAAGGAAAGAAAGAAAGAAGAAUAAAUAAGGGAAACUGGCUUUCUGAGGACUCCUCGCUUUGGAGCGUGGGAGAUGAGGAGUGAGGUUCGGUGGAGGGGGUGCGGCUUCUGGGAGCCACUGAGACCUACCAGCGUGUCUUCUUACCAUCCACAGCUACUGCUGAGCAGACUUUCUGACCUGGGGUACAAUUUAGGGCCAGCUCGUCAACCUCCACAGAAAAACCUUCCAAAUUUCUAUCAGGAUUUCAGAUUCCCACUGGGGAAAUCAAUGUGGGGAGACUCUACAGCUUUACAUUAUUGUGACUUUUCUUCCACGAACAUAGUAAGUCCCUCCAUUUCUAUAGGUCUUCUUUAAUUUCCUUCAAUAAUAUUUUGUGGUUUUUAGAAUAAAUAUCUUGCAUAUCUUUCAUUAGAUUUACUCCUAGGUAUUUAAUUUUUUAUAGCAUUACAAACUCUAUUGUUUUUACAUAUUCAUUUUCAAGUUGCUUGGUAGUAGCAUAUAGGAAGACAAUUGAUUUUUGUAUAUUAACCUUGCAGCCAGUGACCUUACUGAAUUUUCUUACUCUAAUAGUUUAACUGGAUAUUUUUUUUUAUUUUCUACAUAUGCAUAUUAUAUCAUCUGGAAAUAAAAGUGGUUUUCUUCCUUUCUGGUCCUUA